rnacentral:tRNA from 3 species
GCGCCAAUAGCUCAGUUGGAUAGAGCAACGGAUUUCUAAUCCGUAGGUCAGGGGUUCGAAUCCCUUUUGGCGUGCCA